CUCAGGUGGAUGUGAUGCAUCAACUGGGGUGGUUUAGGAGUGGUCACAACCGUAGGGCUCCUGGAUGUGUUAUCAGGUCAGAGAAUGUGACUGAAACUUCCACUUCCUCUUGCCAAGAUAGACUUGGGAGGCGUCAAUUUCUUGCCGUGGGACCAACAAUUGUCCCGUUGCUGCUGAUGACUUCUCAGAUACCAACAUCAUUUGCUGCAGGAAAUAAGAAGG
rnacentral:misc_RNA from 1 species